UAAUGCCGGAUGCUCCAUCACACCGCAUGGUGUUUUGGGAAAGCCUUUGCGGCAUGGGAUGGGGUCGCGUCCUAUCAGCUUGAUGGCGGGGUAACGGCCCACCAUGGCUUCGACGGGUAGCCGGCCUGAGAGGGCGACCGGCCACAUUGGGACUGAGAUACGGCCCAGACUCCUACGGGAGGCAGCAGUGGGGAAUAUUGCACAAUGGGCGCAAGCCUGAUGCAGCGACGCCGCGUGAGGGAUGGAGGCCUUCGGGUUGUAAACCUCUUUUGUUAGGGAGCAAGGCAUUUUGUGUUGAGUGUACCUUUCGAAUAAGCACCGGCUAACUACGUGCCAGCAGCCGCGGUAAUACGUAGGGUGCAAGCGUUAUCCGGAAUUAUUGGGCGUAAAGGGCUCGUAGGCGGUUCGUCGCGUCCGGUGUGAAAGUCCAUCGCUUAACGGUGGAUCCGCGCCGGGUACGGGCGGGCUUGAGUGCGGUAGGGGAGACUGGAAUUCCCGGUGUAACGGUGGAAUGUGUAGAUAUCGGAAAAGAACA
rnacentral:rRNA from 1 species